rnacentral:tRNA from 1 species
GGAGAGGUGCGAGAGCGGCCGAAUCGGCGUGAUUGGAAAUCACGUGUACCGGCAACGGUACCGUGGGUUCGAACCCCACCCUCUCCGCCA